UACGUAGGGGGCAAGCGUUGUCCGGAUUUACUGGGCGCAAAGAGCGUGUAGGCGGCCACGCAGGUCCGUUGUGAAAACUGGAGGCUCAACCUCCAGCUGUCGACGGAAACCGUAUGGCUAGAGUCCGGAAGAGGAGAGUGGAAUUCCUGGUGUAGCGGUGAAAUGCGCAGAUAUCAGGAAGAACACCAAUGGCGAAGGCAGCUCUCUGGGACGGUACUGACGCUGAGACGCGAAAGCGUGGGGAGCGAACAGG
rnacentral:rRNA from 1 species